AUCUCCUUCCAACACCGACCAACAUCAAGCAGAAGCGGGAUUUCUGGACUCCCGAACUCGGAUGGCUUGUGACAUUCUUUCUAUUCCAAUUACAACAGUUGCUUCAGAAGCCACCUUCAGUGCUGGUGGAAGAGUUAUUGAUCAAUAUAGAUCAUCUUUGGGUACAGAUAUAGGGCAACUUCUUAUUUGUGGAAGUGAUUGGUACCGUAAUUUAUAUGGUAUAAAGAGAAAAGUGAAGAUUAGGGAGGAAACAAAAGAGAUCUCAUUGGUUUGAUAAGGAGCAUAAUAUUCUUUUUUUUUU